rnacentral:lncRNA from 1 species
GACAGUGUUGGUGGAAGAAGAGAACUUAAGGCCAGAAGUUGUGUGUGUGAAUUAAGAAAAAGAAGAGAAGUACAGGAGAUAUCAUUAAAUUAUAUAGUUCUCUCUUCGACUGUAGCCUUAUAACAGGGACAUUAAUAGAAUUAACAGGUGGAAUCUAAUUGUCUCCCUUGGAAUCUGGGAUGGCUGUCCUACUUAUUUGACCAACAGAAUUUGUCAGAAGGGACUUUCUGUAACUUCUGAAGCUGUCUCAUAAGAAGCCUUGCAGAUUCUGCUCAUGUCUCUUUCCUCUCUGGGAAACAAGUCGCGACUCAGGGAUAAGCCUGAGACACAUGGAGAGAACAUCCUGAUCAAUCUGGUCUUUGCUGCUACCCUGGUCAACAGCCUGAGCUGGAUACCUGGCUGACAAGUACCACCUUUUUCCUACACAGAUGACAACCCAGCCCAUGAGCACCAGGAAAAUUAAACAAAAAGCCGAAAGAAAAAAGAAAAGAAGAAGUCUGGGAGUGAAGUUAUAUGCUUAAAGGCAUGCAUCUAGCAAAUGGCAAAAAAAAUGGAUGAAGACACAAGACUGAUUGUCACUAAAAACCAUGUGGUAUGUUUGAGCAAGGUCAGUGCCACGGUAGAACCACUUGUGACCACAUGCCAGCUAUGGGUAUAACUAAAAAACAUGAGUAGUCAGAAAUCAUUUUCCAAUUAUGUCCCUCCGUUUGUUUCACUCCAGGGAGUUGUAUGUGAUCUUUUUCUCUACUGAAUUUCAAGACAAGGAUUUUGUACCACUUUUCUGAAACUUCUCUGAGAUGUCUUUCAUCUCACGUCUUUUUGUUUUAUUUAAUUUUGAGAAUCAAACUAAGUCCCUCUCAUUUAUGAAUCCUUCUCUGAAUCCACCACUGAAAGUAACUUUCUUCAUUUACUUAUUAUAGAAUCCUGUGUUUUUUAUCAAUCAUUUGACAAUUUGCAACUUGCCUUAAACCUAUGUAUUAGGGUAUUAAAUAUUUUCUAUUUAAAUAUUUAUUAGGAUACUAAAUUAGUUUAACUCAAGGGAUAUUAGGGUUGAUGAUAGAGAUGUGUGAGGCUGAAAUUUUGAAUCAAAUCAAUGGCAUUAGGUUUGUUCAACCUCUAAUUUCCUUCCCAAGAUGGAGAGAAAUAUAUAUAUAGAGAAAAUAGGAUUUCCCUGGUAUUUCCAAACCGUUACCUUUGAAGCUCAAGUUCCUCCCUGUAAAAUGGGAAUAAAAAUUAUUAUCAUGCCUUGCUUGUGAGGC